AGCUUUUUGAAUCCGUGCUGAGAUUUCGUCACACACCAACACAUUUAGGCUGAUCAGACUUUCAAGAUAAGUGAAGUU
rnacentral:pre_miRNA from 1 species